UUUCACAGGAGAAGAAACCUGAUCAGCAAGGAUUAAUGGUUGCUCUAGGACUGCUUCCAUGAUUGGUCAAUAGAUUUGUUCUUUAGAGUCAUUAUGUUGCUCUCAAUUUCGAUCCCAUAAACUGCCUGAUCUAGUGAACAUCAUCAAAAAAAACAAAAAAAAACUCCCUCCAUUCAUUAAUUCAACCACAAUAAAUCCAUCUGCUAUAUUUCAAAACAAGAAGAUAACAAGGGAUAGCGAAAAAAUUGCCAUAAAUUUCACAAUCAAAAACAAAAAAAAGUGGAAAACGGGCUGAAUUCGGAGAAAAACAAGAGAAAAAUUCACGUAAAUGGAGCCCAUCGUUGUAUGGCAGUCGCCAUUGAUUUGUCCCGUAUUGUUUCUGCAUAUUCUCCCGCGUCAGUAAUGUAAUCGCCAUAGAUAGCUUUAGACUUAGACUUGGACAAAACACAAAAUAUAUAGUUGAACACGCUUCCACCGCUUUGUCCAGCUGCAACGUGUUUUUCCACAUGGAAAAUAUGAUGUCUGUCGCUUUAUCACUCAUUAUUUCUCCGUACACGUUUUAACCCUGGUUACCCUUCAACGUAACCUCCUCUUCUCAAGGAUUUAACUGAGUUGAUACGCUGUUCAAGCUUGGGAAGAAAUUUGAAGAGCAGUAAUUUAAGUGGUUGAAUUCAAUUGGUGAGGAUAAUAAUAUUUAAUCAAAAGAGGCUUCUAGAUUAGAUGUAUGCUCUCUCGUAGUAUUGAAACGAAGAUAUAAAUAUCUAUAUAAUCUAAUUAUUCUCAGAAGAGAAAUUUGGGAAGUGAGAGGCUUUUAUGGAGAGAGCGGCAGCCAUUAAAAAUCUAAAGAGAUCUCCGAUUGCAAAUCUCUUUUGUAUGCCGUUCGUCAAAUAACGGGAAAUUGUUAGUAGUGGUGGUGUUUUCUGUUUUCUAGAUUUGUUCUUGGAAUGGGUUUUAUGGAUUUCUCGGUGUUUGGUUUCUAAAAUUUUGGAAAAUUGUGGCAGAUUUGCGAGAGGCGUGGUCUGGAAAUCUGUUUUGACGUGAAGUGGUGGAAAUCUUGGCAUUGAGUGUGGAAAAUGGGCAACAGAAUCCCGAGAUUGAAGGGAGAUAUGUGACAGGAUGUUUGUUAGGCCUUACCGGCCUUCUUCGAUGGUUAACUACUUCAGCAUCACGUCUUUGGUGGUGUUUUUCGUGUUUACAGCUUCGCUGGUGGUUCUUCCGUUAGUUUUGCCGCCGUUGCCGCCGCCUCCCUUUAUGCUCAUGCUCGUACCAGUUGGCAUCCUCGUGGUGCUCAUGUUUUUGGCCCUCCUGCCUUCACAAAUCACAAAUAUAUUGGUCGCUUCUUUCUGACAUUGGGUAACCAGAGCUUUUGAAGUAUGAUUCACAGAGUUGGAAAUGGGAAGAUUACAGGGAAUCAAUGAAGCAACGAGAAAAAAACAAUAUCUGAAUUUGAAGGUAUGAGGACAUUCAUGUGGUAGAGGGUUUCAGUAAGCCUUUGGAGGUUAUAAUAGGAGGAGGUUCAGUGUGGGUUUGAGCAGGUCUGUAGUUUCAUCAAUGGGAUCUAUGGAGGAUCGAUAGCUCAGUGGUAGAUGGUUUGAGAAACAUAUGAAUGGGAUCUAUGGAGGAUCGAUAGCUCAGUGGUAGAUGGUUUGAGAAACAUAUGAAUGGGAUCUAUGGAGGAUCGAUAGCUCAGUGGUAGAUGGUUUGAGAAACAUAUGAUAGAACUGAGAAACAUAUGAUAGAACUUGUCAUGGGAGGGGUAUAAUAGAAUAUCUAAGGGAUGGUAGUUUAGUGAUAGAACUCCUUAUAGUACAGAUGAGAAGUUUGUAGUUAAAUGAAAGGAUCUAUCCUUCCAAAAAAAAAUGGGAGGUUGGUGUUGAUCUUUUAAUCACGCUGAUGGAACCUCUCAACAUACAGAUGAAAGAUUGAUAACUCAAUGAUAGACCAUUUAAUUCCAUUUUAUCAAUUAAAUGGAAUUGGUGGCUCAGCUAUUGACCCUGCCACCAGGAACCUGGAGGUCAUAAUGGAACUUCUCAAAGGCUGGUAGCUCAGCCAAUAAACCUCUCACUGGGAGAUGGGAGGUUGGUAGCUCUACAAUAGAUCCUCUUACCAGAUAGGCUGAAGGUCAUAAUAGAGCUUCUAAAGGAUUGGUAGCUUGGCCAUAGAACCUCUCAUCACGCUUAUAAGGGAAUCUCUGAAAGGUUGGCAUCAGCCAGAGUUUCUUACCACAGAAAUGGAAGGUUCUAUUAAAAUCUGUAAGGGUUUUAUAAUUCACUAAUGGAGCCUCUCACCAAUCAGAGUUUAAAAGAGAACCUGUAAAGAAUUGUUAGCUGUGGAAAUGGAACCCCUCGGGUUGGUCGCUCAGUGGUAGAGUCUAUCAUGAUGUAAAUUGAAGGUUAUACAGAAGUCUGUGAAUGUUGACCAAAAGUUAAUGGUAGAGAUGAAUUGGUGGCUGGAUUGUUAAAACUCAUAGGUAGAGCAUCUCAGUUUCCGGAAAUAUAGAAUUUGUAAGCGAUUGCCCAGCAUGAAUGGCAAUGAAUGUCCUACCUUCUUGUUCCUCUCCUGGCUCACAGACCAAAACUGUGUGUAAUUGUCAACAAUGAGAUGGGAUAUGCAAGAAUGUUAUAACCAUGGAAAUGCCCAAUUCAGGAAUGCAUGUUUUAGGAGGUUCAUUACAUCUCAAGCCUGCAAACACAAUGCUGUAAGGAAAAAUUGUAUAUUAUUUUAAUACUGAAUGAUGGCUAUGUUCAUUA